AGCGAUGAACCGGGCAGCCGCGGUUUAUGCCGUUUUGCUGCUGCUUAACGGCAUAAAUUGAGGAAAGUCCGGACUCCGCAGGGCGCGAUGCCGGGUAACCCCCGGGGUUAUGUGCCGGAUUGCUCACGCUUUCCGGCGCAUGGGACAGAGAGCGCAACAGAAAGCAAACCGCCCCGUGGGGGUCAAAAAGUUUAGGCUUUUUGAAACGCCCCUUAGUGUAGCCGCCGCGCAGGCGGGGGUGAGGCGGCGGCGGGAAACGUAAGUUUCCCGCCGCCCCGGGUAAGGGUGAAAGGGCGGGGUAAGAGCCCGCCUCGGCGGCGGUAACGCCGCCGGAAAGACCCCGGCACAGCCGGGGAAUGGCAAGCCUCAUCGGGAGCAAAGUCAAGCAGCGUUAUUUGGAUCUUCGGUUCCAAACGCCGGGAGCCGCUUCGGCGGAACCCGGACCGGCGGCCCGCCGGGUAAACGCGGGUAGACUGCACGGAGACGGUCCGCAAGGGCCGCCCCAGACAGAUGGCUGCAACGUUUGUCCGUCCGCUAAACCAUACCGGUCCGGCGGACCGGUAUGGUUUAGCGGACGGACAAACGGUACAGAAUCCGGCUUAGGGUUCAUCGCUUUUU
rnacentral:RNase_P_RNA from 1 species